AUGCCUAAGGAUCUUGGCAACCUUGGGAUCCCAAACCUUAGACUGAUCAACAUAGCCUUGCGUGCUAGAAGGCCUUGGUUGGAGCACACGGUAGCUGAGAAACCUUGGCAGGAGUUCAACAUCUAGGUGUCUGCAGAAUCAUUAGUGAUCUUUAAUGCCGCCACUAGAUCUGUCAUUGGGGACGGUAGGUCCGCUCUCUUCUGGACUGAUUGGUAGCUCCCAAAAGGCCGCAUCUGCGGCAUCACACCAUGCCUAUUCGCCUCUGUUCAGACUAGGGCGGUUCGAUCCCGCACGGUGAGAGAAGGGGUGCGAGGAGGCUGGUGGAGGGAUGUUAGCCCGAAUCUCAAUGUGGACGCACUCCGGGAGUUUCUCCACAAGCUGGAACAGACCAUGCCUAUUCGCCUCACACCAUGCCUAUUCGCCUCUGUUCAGACUAGGGCGGUUCGAUCCCGCACGGUGAGAGAAGGGGUGCGAGGAGGCUGGUGGAGGGAUGUUAGCCCGAAUCUUAAUGUGGACGCACUCCGGGAGUUUCUCCACAAGCUGGAACAGACCAACAUCAUCAUGCUUGAGGAGGGAUCAGUCGAUGCGCUGGUAUGGGCGUUGGAGGGUGACCACUGCUUCUCAGCUCGGGCAGCCUACAUGGCUCUCUUUGGGCUGUAA
rnacentral:rRNA from 1 species